GACGAACGCUGGCGGCGUGCUUAACACAUGCAAGUCGAACGGGUCUGCCCUGUUUUUUGCGGGGUGGGUCAGUGGCGAACGGGUGAGUAACACGUGAGUAACCUGCCCCUCACUUCUGGAUAACCGCUUGAAAGGGUGGCUAAUACGGGGUGUUCUGGCUGUGCCGCAUGGUGUGGCUGGGAAAGAUUCACUUUUGUGGUGUUUUGGUGGGGGAUGGGCUCGCGACCUAUCAGCUUGUUGGUGGGGUGAUGGCCUGCCAAGGCUUUGACGGGUAGCCGGCCUGAGAGGGUGGGCGGUCACACUGGGACUGAGAUACGGCCCAGACUCCUGCGGGAGGCAGCAGUGGGGGGUAUUGCACAAUGGGCGGAAGCCUGAUGCAGCGACGUCGCGUGAGGGAUGGAGGCCUUCGGGUUGUGAACCUCUUUCGCCGGUGAAGAAGGUCCUGCUCUUUGGGGUGGGGUUGACGGUAGCCGGGUUAUGAAGCGCCGGCUAACUACGUG
rnacentral:rRNA from 1 species